rnacentral:lncRNA from 12 species
UUUAGAAUUUCCCAAUUCUAAAUGGGAGAAAAAAUGGUGUGUUUCUCGCUUUAUUUUGGUGAAGGGGGACUGAGAUGGAAAGGGGGAAUGGUGCUGCUGAGAGGGAGUGAUGGGGAAUUGACCCCGGGUGCAUGAAUGGCUCUGUCUGAGCUGUACCUCCGUAUACACAAAAAUCAGUGUGUGUAUACACACAUGGCCACUCUCCUGCUCUGGGGGAUCCAGGUGACAGCAGUGACACCCUGGGGUGCUGUGGGGCUGGAGCACCCCUCGCCCUGGGGCUGUGCUGUGGCACCCAGCUGCAGACAGGAAAUGUUCCCUCCCAUCGUGAUGUUCCUGCUGUGAAAAACGCCCAUGUGAUCGUGAAUGGGAAAAAAUUCCCCAAGAAUGGGAGUGAUUUUUUUUGUCAUUGAGACUGAAUUACAGCAAAUUGUUUUGGUAUGUAAAUGCCAAGUUUAUUGUUCAUUAAAAUCAUUGCAGAGUUAAGCUUUCUGGGCAUGUUGUAUGAUAGAUAAUGACAAUU